UCACCUCACCUCACCUCACCUCACCUCACCUCACCUCAAACGUGUUUAAAUUCGAUUUCAACAUAGGUGCAUCUGCAAGGCGGUUUAAAGGUCAGCUUCCGGUGGUCGGGCGAUGAGUAGCGACUGCAGCAUGUAAACAGGAACUAGCGACGCUGUUACAUCACAUGGACUACGUAUACGGAGAUACACCUGCAGGUGGGGCAUUGCGUAGUAGAUACACUACAUAUGGCCUGUGAGCUGCGUCAAAUGUAACAACUGGGACUACAGGGAAAUGGGGAACCUCUGGCUGGUACUGUUUCUGACGAUAUGUCUGACAGAAGAAGUGCAUGGAUUCUGUUACUUCCGGGGAGGCAUCGUCCCCACAGACUGCAAAGAGUUUGAGUACUGCUGUGGGCUAGGCAAACACAGACGAUGCUGCAGGAGUGGAGAACUGGAUAGGUCGGCGAUGAUCACCGGGCUGUGUGUUGGCAUAAUCUUCGGAGUGAUACUCAUAGUGCUCGCCGUUUACGGUUGUUGUAAACUGUGGAAACGACGUAAUUAGAACACUCCCUUCACAAGAACGAGGAACACAAGCGAGAGAAGCGUGAGAAGAGACCCAGAACGUGACAGCGGGUUUCGGUGUAUCCGUGAUGGAGAAACUCCCCGUGGGGGUUCUGAAUGUUUCCCCGGCACCUCAUCCCGCGUAAAACUUACUGAAGAUGGAGAUCAGCUCUGUGACAAGAUUAUUGUGUGUCAUCUUACCCCGCUGGCGUGGAUCGCUCCUUCUGUGUCCAGACACUGGUUCGUCUGGCCAAGACGCGAUUAUUACAGAACGCUAUGGUAACGUUGGACUGUUGCUGAUUGUGGCGUAAAACAACACUCACCCUCUCCCUGAUACUGACACCACGUGGUAGAUGUUGUUUUUGUUGUUUGUUUAAGAUGACGGGUGAUUUUGUAACUCUGGCUCAUAUGAUGAACUUUACAGGGGCGGUUGGGUAGCCUAAUGGUUAAAGCUUUCGCUCGGGUUCGAUUCCCCACAUGGGUACAAUGUGUAGCACUUUUCUGUUGUCCCCCGCCGUGAUAUUGCUGAAACAUUGCUGAAAGCGGCGUGAAUCAAUAAUCAUUCAGUCACUUUGUCGACCGUCAAUAGCCUGUCAUGUCAAUAAUAAGUUAUUUUAUAUACGUUGUACAUACGUGAAUGUUUAUUUGU